UACGGAGGGAGCUAGCGUUGUUCGGAAUUACUGGGCGUAAAGCGUACGUAGGCGGUUAUUCAAGUCAGAGGUGAAAGCCCGGGGCUCAACCCCGGAACUGCCUUUGAAACUAGAUAGCUAGAAUCUUGGAGAGGUCAGUGGAAUUCCGAGUGUAGAGGUGAAAUUCGUAGAUAUUCGCAAGAACACCAGUGGCGAAGGCGGCUCACUGGCCCGAUACUGACGCUGAGGUGCGAAAGCGUGGGGAGCAAACAGG
rnacentral:rRNA from 1 species